rnacentral:rRNA from 1 species
GGGGAAUCUUGCGCAAUGCGCGAAAGCGUGACGCAGCAACGCCGCGUGGGGGAAGACGGCCUUCGGGUUGUAAACCCCUUUCAGGAGGGACGAAGGCCAUACGGUUAAUAGCCGGCAUGACUGACGGUACCUCCAGAAGAAGCCCCGGCUAACUACGUUCCAGCAGCCGCGGUAAUACGUAGGGGGCAAGCGUUGUCCGGAAUUAUUGGGCGUAAAGGGCGCGUAGGUGGCCCGGUCAGUCUUUGGUGAAAGCGCGGGGCUCAACCCUGCGUCGGCCAGGGAUACUGCCGCGGCUCGAGCACUGUAGAGGCAGGCGGAAUUCCGGGUGUAGCGGUGGAAUGCGUAGAGAUCCGGAAGAACACCGGUGGCGAAGGCGGCCUGCUGGGCAGUUUGGCUGACACUGAGGCGCGACAGCGUGGGGAGCAAAC